GUGCCAGCCGCCGCGGUAAUACGUAGGGUGCGAGCGUUAAUCGGAAUUACUGGGCGUAAAGCGCGUGUAGGCGGACUGGUGUGUCGGAUGUGAAAUCCCCAGGCUCAACCUGGGAACUGCAUUUGUGACUGCAUCGCUGGAGUGCGGCAGAGGGGGAUGGAAUUCCGCGUGUAGCAGUGAAAUGCGUAGAUAUGCGGAGGAACACCGAUGGCGAAGGCAAUCCCCUGGACCUGUACUGACGCUCAUGCACGAAAGCGUGGGGAGCAAACAGGAUUAGAUACCCUGGUAGUCC
rnacentral:rRNA from 1 species